rnacentral:rRNA from 1 species
GCCUGACGGAGCAACGCCGCGUGAGUGAUGAAGGUCUUCGGAUCGUAAAACUCUGUUAUUAGGGAAGAACAAACGUGUAAGUAACUGUGCACGUCUUGACGGUACCUAAUCAGAAAGCCACGGCUAACUACCUGGCCAGCAGCCGCGGUAAUACGUAGGUGGCAAGCGUUAUCCGGAAUUAUUGGGCGUAAAGCGCGCGUAGGCGGUUUUUUAAGUCUGAUGUGAAAGCCCACGGCUCAACCGUGGAGGGUCAUUGGAAACUGGAAAACUUGAGUGCAGAAGAGGAAAGUGGAAUUCCAUGUGUAGCGGUGAAAUGCGCAGAGAUAUGGAGGAACACCAGUGGCGAAGGCGACUUUCUGGUCUGUAACUGACGCUGAUGUGCGAAAGCGUGGGGAUCAAACAGGAUUAGAUACCCUGG